rfam:Strongylocentrotus purpuratus Contig141521_fixed, whole genome shotgun sequence.
GCUGUGAUGGCCGAGUGGUUAAGGCGUUGGACUUGAAAUCCAAUGGGAUCUUCCCGCGUAGGUAUGAACCCUACUCGCAGUG